ACCAGACUCCUACGGGAGGCAGCAGUGAGGAAUAUUGGUCAAUGGCCGCAGGGCUGAACCAGCCAAGUCGCGUGAGGGAUGACGGUCCUAUGGAUUGUAAACCUCUUUUGUCAGGGAGCAAAGGGCGCCACGUGUGGCGCUUUGCGAGUACCUGAAGAAAAAGCAUCGGCUAACUCCGUGCCAGCAGCCGCGGUAAUACGGGGGAUGCAAGCGUUGUCCGGAAUCAUUGGGCGUAAAGAGUUCGUAGGUGGCACGUUAAGUCUGGUGUUAAAUGCAGAGGCUCAACCUCCGUUCGGCACUGGAUACUGGCGAGCUUGAAUGCGGUAGAGGUAAAGGGAAUUCCUGGUGUAGCGGUGAAAUGCGUAGAUAUCAGGAGGAACGUCGGUGGCGUAAGCGCUUUACUGGGCCGUAAUUGACACUGAGGAACGAAAGCCAGGGUAGCAAAUGGGAUUAGAUACCCUUGUAU
rnacentral:rRNA from 1 species